AAAGUUUAAAAAUGGUUGUUGUCCUUGUAGCAGAGAUUGGUGAUGGGUUAAUAAAAGUCAGAUGAGGGUGACUUGAGAGAUGCAUUGAGAGAGUGAAGUUAUGGGGCUCAAGAGAGAAAGUAUGUCAAUCCAAUAGCAGGAAGAUUAAGUACACCAGUAAGAAAAUCAUGAUGGUAUCAUGUGUUAUUAGCUUUUAUUUCAUUUCCAAUUUUUU
rnacentral:lncRNA from 1 species